rnacentral:rRNA from 1 species
GACGAACGCUGGCGGCGUGCUUAACACAUGCAAGUCGAACGAAGUGGCGAACGGGUGAGUAACGCGUAUUCAACCUGCCCUUCAGAGGGGUACAUCAGUUGGAAACGACUUCUAAUCCCGCAAACUGCAGGAGGUGAUUGCGUUGGAUUAGCUAGUUGGAGGGGUAACGGCCCACCAAGGCGAUGAUCAGUAGCCGGUCGGGGAGGGUGAACGGCCACAUUGGGACUGAGACACGGCCCAGACUCCUACGGGAGGCAGCAGUGGGGAAUCUUCCGCAAUGGACGAAAGUCUGACGAAGCAACGCCGCGUGAGUGAUGACGGCCUUCGGGUUGUAAAGCUCUGUUAAUCGGGACGCGGUACCGGAAUAGAAAGCCACGGCUAACUACGUGCCAGCCGCCGCGGUAAUUC